rnacentral:rRNA from 1 species
GGAAUAUUGGACAGUGGGGGCAACCCUGAUCCAGCCAUGCCGCGUGUGUGAAGAAGGCCUUCGGGUUGUAAAGCACUUUUGUUGGGGAAGAAAAGCACUGGGCUAAUACCUUGGUGUCCUGACGGUACCCAAAGCAUAAGCACCGGCUAACUUCGUGCCAGCCGCCGCGGUAAUACGAAGGGUGCAAGCGUUACUCGGAAUUACUGGGCGUAAAGCGUGCGUAGGCGGUUUGUUAAGUCUGUCGUGAAAGCCCCGGGCUCAACCUGGGAAUGGCGAUGGAUACUGGCGAGCUAGAGUACGGUAGAGGAGAGUGGAAUUCCCGGUGUAGCAGUGAAAUGCGUAGAGAUCGGGAGGAACAUCAGUUACGAAGGCGGCUCUCUGGACCAGUACUGACGCUGAGGCACGAAAGCGUGGGGAGCAAAC